UACUCCUACGGGAGGCAGCAGUGGGGAAUAUUGCACAAUGGGCGCAAGCCUGAUGCAGCCAUGCCGCGUGUAUGAAGAAGGCCUUCGGGUUGUAAAGUACUUUCAGCGGGGAGGAAGGGAGUAAAGUUAAUACCUUUGCUCAUUGACGUUACCCGCAGAAGAAGCACCGGCUAACUCCGUGCCAGCAGCCGCGGUAAU
rnacentral:rRNA from 1 species